ACUCCUACGGGAGGCAGCAGUGGGGAAUAUUGGACAAUGGGGGAAACCCUGAUCCAGCCAUGCCGCGUGUGUGAAGAAGGCCUUCGGGUUGUAAAGCACUUUCAGUGGGAGAAGUUGAUGGUUAUACCUAUCAGCGUGACGUUACCCACAGAAGAAGACGGCUAACUCCGUGCCAGCAGCCGCGGUAAUACGGAGGGUGCAAGCGUUAAUCGGAAUUACUGGGCGUAAAGCGUGCGCAGGCGGUCUGUUAAGCGAGAUGUGAAAGCCCCGGGCUCAACCUGGGAACUGCAUUUCGAACUGGCAGACUAGAGUCUUGUAGAGGGGGUAGAAUUUCAGGUGUAGCGGUGAAAUGCGUAGAGAUCUGAAGGAAUACCAGUGGCGAAGGCGGCCCCCUGGACAAAGACUGACGCUCAGAUGCGAAAGCGUGGGGAGCAAACAGGAUUAGAUACCCCUUGUAGCGAGUA
rnacentral:rRNA from 1 species